UAGGGAAUAUUGCAAAAUGGGCGAAAGCCCGAUGCAGCAACGCCGCGUGGGCGAUGAAGGCCUUCGGGUCGUAAGGCCCUUUUUGAGGGGAUGAGGAAGGACAGUACCCUCAGAAUAAGCCUCGGCUAACUACGUGCCAGCAGCCGCGGUAAAGCGUAGGAGGCGAGCGUUAUCCGGAUUUACUGGGCGUAAAGCGCGUGCAGGCGGAUUGGAGAGUUGGAUGUGAAAGCUCCCGGCUUAACUGGGAGAGGUCGUUCAAUACUUCCAGUCUUGAGUGCAGUAGAGGGAAGUGGAAUUCCGGGUGUAGUGGUGAAAUGCGUAGAUAUCCGGAGGAACACCAGUGGCGAAAGCGGCUUCCUGGACUGUAACUGACGCUCAGACGCGAAAGCUAGGGUAGCAAACG
rnacentral:rRNA from 1 species